rnacentral:rRNA from 1 species
UGCCAGACUCCUACGGGAGGCAGCAGUGGGGAAUAUUGCGCAAUGGGCGAAAGCCUGACGCAGCGACGCCGCGUGAGGGAUGAAGGUCUUCGGAUCGUAAACCUCUGUCAGCAGGGAAGAACGGUCACUGUGCUAAUCAGCAGUGAAUUGACGGUACCUGCAAAGGAAGCACCGGCUAACUCCGUGCCAGCAGCCGCGGUAAUACGUAGGGGGCAAGCGUUAUCCGGAUUUACUGGGUGUAAAGGGAGCGUAGACGGCAGUGCAAGUCCGGAGUGAAAGCCCGGGGCUCAACCCUGGGACUGCUCUGGAACUGCGUGGCUGGAGUGCAGGAGGGGCAGGCGGAAUUCCUGGUGUAGCGGUGAAAUGCGUAGAUAUCAGGAGGAACACCGGUGGCGAAGGCGGCCUGCUGGACUGCAACUGACGUUGAGGCCCGAAAGCGUGGGGAGCAAACAGGAUUAGAUACCCGAGUAUC